AGGAUGAACGCUAGCGGCAGGCUUAAUACAUGCAAGUCGAGGGGUAACAUGGCAGCAAUGCUGAUGACGACCGGCAAACGGGUGCGGAACACGUACAGAACCUUCCUUUAAGCGGGGGAUAGCCCGGAGAAAUCCGGAUUAAUACCUCAUAGUAUUAUCGGGUGGCAUCACCUGAUAAUUAAAGAUUUAUCACUUAGAGAU
rnacentral:rRNA from 1 species